AGCACAGCCUUGGUACACAGA
rnacentral:siRNA from 1 species